rnacentral:rRNA from 1 species
UAGUAAGCGGAGGAAAAGGAACUAACAAGGAUUCCUGAGUAGCGGCGAGCGAAAGGGGAAAAGCCCAGCGCUGAAGCCCCUGUUCUCACUACAGAGCAGCGGGCAAUGUAGCGUACGGGAGCGGUCUUCUUCUGUCGAGCUGCGAGAGCCCAAGUCCCCCUGACUGGGGCCAUCGCCCAUGGCGGGUGCAAGGCCCUUACGGCUCUCGUCACGUUGCCACAGCUCGGCAGUCGGCCGUCUCUCAGGAGUCGGGUUGCUUGAAAGUGCAGCCCUAAGUUGGUGGUAAACUCCAUCUAAGGCUAAAUACUUCCACGAGACCGAUAGCAAACAAGUACCGUGAGGGAAAGUUGAAAUAGAACUUUGGAGAGAGAGUUCAAGAGUACGUGAAACCGCUCAGAGGCAAACGGGUGGGCCCUCGAAGGUCGAACGGGGGGAUUCAACCCGUCACCACGGUCAUGCGAGCAGAGUGUCGUUUGGGUGCAAUCGUGCGCGGGGCACCCAGCACAAACUCGCGUCGAUCGAAAUGCUCGUUUUCCGUGCAGUGCGGCUCAAACCACUUCAAUUCUCAACUCGAGGACUUGAAAAAAUGGAUCCGAUGGGUCCAGACCGCAUUUCACUCGCACGUCCACGCACACGCACGCUGCGUGUGUGCGUGCGAAGCAACGGAUGGUGGCGGGCGCACUUCCCCCUCAGUAGGACGCCGCGACCGGUCGGGACAAAAUUCAAAGGCAGCACUGCGACGAGGCUCAAACGGGGGCAGGUAUCUGUUGCCGGUAGGUCCACCUCUCUUCACGGGGAGGUUUCUAUGUGGCCCCGGUCGGAGUUAUAGCCCUUCCUCGUCGAACGCACCGCCUCCCGACCGAACGAUAACGUCUCGAGACUGACGACGCGUGCCCGCAAAAUUUCAAACUUCUGCUUGAAUUUGCUCGCCAUCUGUCUUGGCAGGCUGGGUGAUUUCUGUUGCCGGCGGACGCCACGAACGUGGCGGCCGAGUAUCUCUGGCAUCAGGCCCGCCGUUAUCGCCAAAUGACGUGCUCUGGCGUAGUGGCAUAGCUCGUGGUCGGCGGCGAGUAGNNNNNNNNNNNNNNUGACCCGUCUUGAAACACGGACCAAGGAGUCUAACAUGUGUGCGAGUCGUAGGGCUCUGCAAAACCCGAAGGCGAAAUGAAAGUGAAGGUUUUUCUCGAGGGGGUGGGGUCUGUGUCGCUCGCGUGCUGUGUGGCGUGCACUCUCCCCGCUAAGCCUCUUCUUGAAACCAAGGCGGGAUCCCCGAAGUUGGUCGGUCACACGCAAGUCUGAAAAAGGUGCCAUCGCGCUCAAACAGGCCGCCGACACGUAAAAAAAACUUCUGCAAACCGGGCGUAUGAGNGAACCCUNGGGKGNSCNNCGCCGGCCCGACUCNNCUGNGCNUUUNAAAAACGCGGCCUCUUUAUCGUUUUCGUUCGUUCGUGGUGACGAGUGCGUGUUUGCGCGCGUGCGAGUCGCUUCGUAACUUUCGUGCGGAAAGCCCGGUCCGUUUCAUCGCAAACCAGUGAGGCGGAGCAAGAGCACACACGUUGGGACCCGAAAGAUGGUGAACUAUGCCCGGGCAGGACGAAGCCAGAGGAAACUCUGGUGGAGGUCCGUAGCGAUUCUGACGUGCAAAUCGAUCGUCGGACCUGGGUAUAGGGGCGAAAGACUAAUCGAACCAUCUANNNNNNNNNNNNNNNNNAAGUUUCCCUCAGGAUAGCUGGUGCUCGGGAAAAACAGUCUCAUGCGGUAAAGCGAAUGAUUAGAGGCCUUGGGGUCGAAACGACCUCAACCUAUUCUCAAACUUUCAAUGAGUGAGACGUCUGGCUUGCUUAACUGAUUACUCGCGGUCUUUUACGGUCAAAUGCGGGUUGUGAGAGUCCAAUUUUCAAACGCGUUGCGGGGAUUGGAGGCAUUCUCUUUCGUUCGUUUGCUCGCAUUCGUGGCGUUYGCGCGUCGCGUGUGUGUGGUGUCUUGCGAGGAGUUUGUUCUUUUUUUUCCCGUUUCGUGUGCGAGAAGCUCUCUUUCUCGUACGUAACUUGACCCCAGUGAAGCCCAGACUUUGGAUGUGAGUGCCCAGUGGGCCACUUUUGGUAAGCAGAACUGGCGCUGUGGGAUGAACCAAACGCCGGGUUAAGGCGCCCGAUGCAGACGCUUAUCAGACCCCAUGAAAGGUGUUGGUUGCUAUUGACAGCAGGACGGUGGCCAUGGAAGUCGGAANNNNNNNNNNNNNNNNNNNNNNNNNNNNNNNUUCCAUGUGAACAGCAGUUGAACAUGGGUCAGCCGGCCCUAAGGAAUAGGGGAAACCCGUUCUGAACGACACCGGGUGCAGUUAAGAAAAACGACCCGGGCGUCCGAAAGGGAAUCGGGUUAAUAUUCCCGAGCCUGGAUGCAGAGAUCGACCACACUUCGUCUCUGUGCGUGUUUUUCGUAUCUCUCGCAGAUAAAACACACAUAUCUCCCACACUCCGUGAUUAUACUCUUUUCCAUCCAAACACACCAAACACACGGGAACAAAAUGCUCAUGUGUGGUGGAUGCGAUAUUAAGUUUUCACGCGCAGUGCUGGGGACGCACAUACGGGACGUUGUUGUCGUGUCAAAAGCGGUAACGCGAACGAACUCGGAGAAGUCGGCGGGAGCCCCGGAAAGAGUUUUCUUUUCUUUGUAAAGGACGGACUCCCUGGAAUUGGUUCGCCCAGAGAUAGGGAUGUUGUUCCUGUAAAGCACCGCGGCUCUUGCGGUGUCCGGAGUGUUCCUGCCGGCCCUUGAAAAUCCGAGGGAGUUAUAUGAUUUCUGCACCAGACCGUACCCAUAUCCGCAGCAGGUCUCCAAGGUGAACAGCCUCUAGUCGAUAGAAUA